UUCCUGGUGGCUCAGACGGUAAAGCGUCUGCCUACAAUGCAGGAGACCCGGGUUCAAUCCCUGGGUAGGGAA
rnacentral:tRNA from 1 species